UCAAAGAUUAAGCCAUGCAUGCCUCAGUAUAAGCAACUUGUACUUGUAAAACUGCGAAUGGCUCAUUAAAUCAGUUAUAAUUUAUUUGAUAAUGAUUUUACUACAUGGAUAGCCGUAGUAAUUCUAGAGCUAAUACAUGCAAUAAAGCCCGACUCGAUGAGGGAAGGGUUGUAUUUAUUAGGUCCAAAACCAACGCAGGGUUUGUAGGAGGCGAAGGAAGGAAGGAAGUUUACUUUCUUUCUUUUUUCCUUUUCUGCGUUCCCGAAGCAUUGGUGAAUCAUAAUAAAAAGUCGAAUCGAAUUUUAUUCGAUGUAUCAUUCAAAUUUCUGCCCUAUCAACUUGAUGGUAGGAUAGAGGCCUACCAUGGUUUUGACGGGUAACGGAGAAUUAGGGUUCGAUUCCGGAGAGGGAGCCUGAGAAAUGGCUACUACUUCUAAGGAAGGCAGCAGGCGCGCAAAUUACCCAAUCCCAACUAUGUUGGGGAGGUAGUGACAAAAAAUACCGAUGCUGUAUCUUUUACAGAUGCAGUAAUUGGAAUGGUUUGGAAGCAAACCGUCCAUAGAGCAGCCAUUAGAGGGCAAGUCUGGUGCCAGCAGCCGCGGUAAUUCCAGCUCUAAUAGUGUAUACUAAAAUUGCUGCAGUUAAAAAGCUCGUAGUUGGAUUUUGGAUGGAACAAGAUACCUUACUUUGCUGUGUGGAUCUGUUGUGUGUGGUUCUGAUUACUUGAGGACUCGCAUGACGUUCUGCAUGGUCGUAAAGGUUGUUUCGUCCCUGUCGAAAGACAUAUUUUUCGGAAAUGUUCCAUCCCCUUAAUUGGGUGAUGGAGUAUUUUCGGAGGAUUUACUUUGAAGAAAUUGUUGUGUUUAAAGCAGGCGUUUCGCAGCUGAACACAUUAGCAUGGAAUAAUAAAAUAGGACAUCUGAGUUAGGUACUUGCCUUUUGUUUCCGCCGAUAAUCUUCCGAGUAUAUUCCUAGGGUAUUGUUCUCAUUUUUUUUUAUGGAAAGAGGGGGGACAUUCUCUCUUUGUGGAGGCUCUUCUUUCUUCGGGAAGGAGGGUUGAAAUGAAGGGAGGGUUAGUCUUUUUUUUUUUUUUCAUUGAAAUGGUGGAGGAUAUUUCUAGCUUGAGUAUACUUGAGGUUAUUGGUAAUUAAUUUUUCAAAGGAGGAAGGGAGAGAGGCCUAGCUAUCAUUUAUGUAUAUCUAUUUUGUUGGUUCAUGGAGAAGGUGUAAUGAUUAAUAGGGACAGUUGGGGGCAUCCGUAUUGCAUUGUCAGAGGUGAAAUUCUUGGAUUUAUGCAAGACGAACUAGUGCGAAAGCAUUUGCCAAGGAUGUUUUCAUUAAUCAAGAACGAAAGUUAAGGGAUCGAAGGCGAUCAGAAACCGCCGUAGUCUUAACUAUAAACUAUACCAACUAGGGAUUGGAAAGUGUUUUAUAAUGGCCUCCUCAGCACCUUUAGAGAAAUCAAAGUCUCUGGGUUCUGGGGGGAGUAUGGUCGCAAGGCUGAAACUUAAAGAAAUUGGCGGAAGGGCACCACCAGGUGUGGAGCCUGCGGCUUAAUUCGACUCAACACGGGGAAACUCACCAGGUCCAGACACAGGAAGGAUUGACAGAUUGAUAGCUCUUUCUUGAUUCUGUGGGUGGUGGUGCAUGGUCGUUCUUAGUUGGUGGAGUGAUUUGUCUGGUUAAUUCCGAUAACGAACGAGACCUUAACCUGCUAAAUAGCUCAGCCUCAAAAGUUUCUUUUGAGGUAUAUGGGCUUGGAGGGGGGGGUAAGGUAGUUCUUCUGCUUUGCCCCUCUCUUUAGUCUUGAUAGAGCUUCUUAGAGGGACUACCAUGGUUGCACAUGGUGGAAGCUUGAGGCAAUAACAGGUCUGUGAUGCCCUUAGAUGUCCUGGGCCGCACGCGCGCUACAAUGAUGCAAUCAGCAAGGUUGUGCUGUCCCGAAAGGGUUGGCUAAUCUUGUCAAUUUGCAUCGUACUGGGGAUUGAUCUUUGUAAUUUUGGAUCAUGAACUAGGAAUACCUCGUAAGUGCAUGUCAUCAGCAUGCGCUGAUUACGUCCCUGCCCUUUGCACACACCGCCCGUCGCUCCUACCGAUUGAAUGAUCAGAUGAAAUGCCCGGAUGCGUGGCGCGCUGCUCUUUACGGGGUGGUGUGCUGUGCAGAAGAGUAUUGAAUCUUAUUAUUUAGA
rnacentral:rRNA from 1 species